UCUGGUGUGUUAACCAGGUGUGGUGUGUUAACCAGGUCUGGUGUGUUAACCAGGUCUGGUGUGUUAACCAGGUCUGGUGUGUUAACCAGGUGGUGUGUGUUAACCAGGUGUGGUGUAUUAACCAGGUGUGGUGUGUGUUAACCAGGUGUGGUGUGUUAACCAGGUGUGGUGUGUUAACCAGGUGUGGUGUGUUAACCAGGUGUGGUGUGUUAACCAGGUGUGGUGUGUGUCUCUGAUCUCACCCCUUGUGGAUGAUGUCAAACUUGAUGCCUUUGGCCUGGACGACCCUCUUGAAGCCUCUGUGUUGACGGUUGAUGUUCAGGUUAAACUUCUCUUUAAACUCUGGACUGUUGCUGUUCUUCACUGUACUGGUCUUAUC